rnacentral:rRNA from 1 species
GGAGGAAAAGAAACCAACAGGGAUUACCUCAGUAACGGCGAGUGAAGCGGUAACAGCUCAAAUUUGAAAUCGGCCACCCGGUCGAGUUGUAAUUUGCAGAGGAUGCUUCGGCUUACGCCCCGGUCCAAGUCCGUUGGAACACGGCGUCGCAGAGGGUGAGAAUCCCGUUGCGGCCGGCGGCCACGCCAUGUGAAGCUCCUUCGACGAGUCGAGUUGUUUGGGAAUGCAGCUCAAAAUGGGAGGUAAAUUUCUUCUAAAGCUAAAUAUUGGCCCGAGACCGAUAGCGCACAAGUAGAGUGAUCGAAAGAUGAAAAGCAUCUUGGAAAGGAAUCGAAACAGCACGUGAAAUUGUUGAAGGGGAAGCGCUCGCGGCGAGAGCCCGCGCGGUCGUUCACCGGGGCCUCGCGCCCCGGGCACGCGGCCGCGUCGGCCAGCAUCGGUUCGGGCGGCGGGAGAAACGCCGACGGCAUGUAGCUCCCCUCGGGGAGUGUUAUAGCCGCGGCGCAAUACCGCCCGCCUGGACCGUGGCACGCGCUCUCGCUCGGAUGCUGGC